GAUGAACGCUGGCGGCGUGCCUAAUACAUGCAAGUCGAGCGAACAGAUGAGGAGCUUGCUCCUUUGACGUUAGCGGCGGACGGGUGAGUAACACGUGGAUAACCUACCUAUAAGACUGGAAUAACUCCGGGAAACCGGAGCUAAUGCCGGAUAACAUUUAGAACCGCAUGGUUCUAAAGUGAAAGAUGGUUUUGCUGUCACUUAUAGAUGGACCCGCGCCGUAUUAGCUAGUUGGUAAGGUAACGGCUUACCAAGGCAACGAUACGUAGCCGACCUGAGAGGGUGAUCGGCCACACUGGAACUGAGACACGGUCCAGACUCCUACGGGAGGCAGCAGUAGGGAAUCUUCCGCAAUGGGCGAAAGCCUGACGGAGCAACGCCGCGUGAGUGAUGAAGGUCUUCGGAUCGUAAAACUCUGUUAUUAGGGAAGAACAAAUGUGUAAGUAACUGUGCACGUCUUGACGGUACCUAAUCAGAAAGCCACGGCUAACUACGUG
rnacentral:rRNA from 1 species